UAUAGAGUUGAAUGCAUCAUUAAAAUAAAGCCCAUCAUCCUAGUUUAAGCACACAAUCACAGACCAAUACCUCAGAGUUUCCACUAAUUAGGAAAUCUAAUCUGAUGUCCUCUGAUGUCAUCAUGCUGGAGGAGCAAAUAGCAACAGAGAGGGAGAAAGAAAGAGAAAGGAAGGGGUAGAGGCUCAUAUAGACACUCUUUAACUUCAUCCAUAGAUGUUACAACUCCAGUCCAAUCUGUGCUUUCCCACUGUAUGGCAAAGAUGGCGUUGGGAGCAAUAUGUUGCACCAUUGAUAUAAGCAAGACUCGGAGGUCUUCAAAAAUAGGUUUGUUAUUGU
rnacentral:lncRNA from 1 species